CACCCGUGUCAAAAGCCAUCACAAUAAAGAUGUUGCUGCUUGUUGCUGGUGCAUGAUUAGUAUAAUGAGAAAGAUUGACCUAACAGUGAAAUUAAGUGAAGUGUUUUUGUGAUUAACUUCAUACACAAGCUCGUAUCUUUAAGUGCAGUGGGUAAACAAAUGAGUGUGCAUUCCUUAAAUACAUCAUAGUGUACUUAAGGAAUACUGGAGGAUAAGGAUUUAAAGAUACUGGAUGGAAGUAAUAAGAAAAUAAAAUGUGUUUCAUUGAAAGAGGUUCUAUAGUUUUAUAUUAAGCAAAAUUAAUUCAGUAGUUAUAAGGAAGAAUGAGUCACAUCUCUAACGAAAAACAAACCUACUUAAAUCUGUGUAAUAUCGCAGAGUCUGAAUCAGAAAAAUGUACUGACUUCUUUAUGUGUUGCCAGAAUCAAGUGACAUAAAAAAGCCAAAAGGAAGUUUGCCCAUAUGGAGGGAUUAGAGGGUCCAAAAGGCCAAACCUUUAGAUUUACACUUUGUCUGUGAAACUGUUCUGCUGUAUUUCACACAAUGAUAGCGUAUUUCAUUGUGUCAGGAACAAUCAGGGGCUCAGCCAUGAGGUCUCCUAGGAUUUGACUCCUCCUUGCUGGGGUGUGAAACUCUCUCUGGGCUCGGCUCCACUGCUGGGCCAUCUUCAUGGGCCCGACCUCUCACGUGUCAGGCUGGGGUGCUGCCUCUUGCCUCCUUCCACACACCACUGUGAAGAGCCUGUGUCUCCUCUGUUCCCUCUGAUCAGUGCCCUGCUGAUGGGAGGGAAUGGAGGAGCUCAUGCCCUCCUUGGAUGCCCCUGACUCUAUCCCUCCUUUCACCUGAGCCAGCCCUCGGCCUGUAGCUGCUUCUUGCUGCAGUCUCCAGCCCCACGGUCUCAGUUACCUCCUUUCACUUCCCACCAUUUUGUUGAUCGUGUUUGUGUUAAGAGAUCCAAACUGUAGGCAGUAUGUAGAUAGGGUCUGACAAAAACAAAGUAGAGGAUGUAGUUCUGACCGUCCCCUGGCUCCCAGGACUGUGACCACCUUGCAAGAACUGGGAGCCUGAAAGGCAUUGUUGCUGCCUGGGCCCUGGCUCAGCUCAUAGCCUGCCCAGGCCAUUUUACAGCCCUAGCCUCUUGGCUGCAGGGAUCUGCCUUGCUGGAGCACUUCUUGGUAUUUGGCAUUUGUCCUCAUUUAUUUCAUGAGGCUGCUGUUAGCCUUUUCUUCCAGACUGCUGGGGUCCCUUCUGUAAGCCCGGCUUGCUGUGAAGUGUCAGAUGCUUCACUUCCCAGUUGACUGUUAUUUGCAGACUGCGUGAGUGUAUUUUGCCUCCUUUACCAAGUCACUGACAGAGAUCUUGAGAAAGACUUCAUGCUCUGAAAUUUUAAGUGUUAAUGUCAGUGCCUAUUUUAUUUUGAACCAGCCAUAACAAAAGUGGGUAGCCUUUUUUGGUACCUUUAGGCAAUAGUAGGUUCUGCGCUGGAGAUAUGAGAGAGCUAGUGUGAGAAUCUUCAAUCUGCUGAAGAGAUCCUUUGAAAACAGAGCAAAACCAAGUAGCAUGUAUAGCCUGAAAGAUGCUGUUAGCCUCCUGAAGAACAGAACUGCUACAUUUGUAGUUACAUUGACAUAGAAGCAUGUGCAGUGUUUUCUGUUUGCAUUUAUAAGGUACAAGAGGCUUUUUAGUGUGUUUGCAAAUAAAACAUUGAGAUUGUAUUCUGGAAAACUUUAUGAGCCAUUGCUUUAAUAUUUGUUAACAACAGAUUGGAUAAGAUUGAUAAGUUUUAACCAGAAGUGUAAUAAAUUUAAGCCAGCAGUGGAUUUGGAGUUGAGGAGUAAUGGUCAAAAAGGUUAAAAUAGAAAGCUUCCUUUUCAUUGCUAGUUUUCUGAGCCUUUUGAUUUUAGGUUUCUUGAGUUAACAAAAGCAAGAAUGUUGCCUAAGUGUGAGCAACAAAAUGUGUCAUGUUUUGAUCAAAUUCUUUCCCUGAAUAUAGGGAAUGACCAGUAUGGUCAUUCUUAAAAUGCAUGAUUUCAUUUCUUUUUUGUCUUCAGGAUGCUUCAGAGUGCAUGGCUUUUUCUUUUUCUCUUUCUCCAUUUCCCCAGUUUCUUUUCAAGAAAUUAAUACCUUCUCAUGACUGCAUCCCUUUGUGGACUUCCUGAUCUGAGAGUUUAUCUGAUCAGCUUGGCAGAAAUAACGUAAUAGCAUUCUCUCUUUUAGGGACUCUAGUCCCUAAAAGUUUCUCUGAAAGGCUUACAUCUCCUGGUGUUGAAAAGCCCAUUAUGCUUUAUGAAAUACUGGAAACAGGCUUUUUUGAAUUCUGUAGAAACCCUGAAAAGCUUCUGACUUUCCCUUCUAAGUGAGUCUGUUGUACAGAGGGCAUUAACUCAUUUGUAACUUCCAUGCUUUAGGCUGAGAAAAGCAUUUAAGGGUGAUCAAGUAUGUGAUGGGUUUUGCACUUAUACAAAUAAGUCCAGACAAUUAAUACUUCUAGCUUAUGGCUACAUUCAAGAAAGAAAUAACAGUAACAAGUUGCUGAAUUUUGAUAGGCAAAGAAUCUGACACAAUUAGGCUCAUGUCCUUCAAAAUGAAUGAGAUACCAUAUUAAUGUAAAACACUGAAUGAGCGUUGAGUAAAAUCCUUUAAAAUGGUGAACUGUUGCUUACAUGCUUUUAAAUAAUGGUCUAAAUUACUUGAUUUCUAUGCACCUUGAAAUCCAGGUCUGUUUCCUUUUCCUGCGUUUUUACAUGGGCUGACUGAUGUGAAUUACAAAACAUGAUUAUUUCUCAUUUCCAUAAACAUAUGCAUAUUACAAGUAGUAUGUCCUUCUGGAGGGAGAACUGUAGGCUCACCUGGUACUUGCGUGCUGCCAUAUUCAGUGUAGUUUUAUCUCUGUAUUUGUCUUUUGCUGCAGAUUCCUUUAAUUAUGUCUUGGAUGAUCCUAGCUCCCCAUUUCUGUUACACAUAUACCUUGUGGCAUCCCAAACGUGAACUAGUCAAGGUUAUUUGCUACAGCCACUGUCCUUCUGUCUUUCAGGCUGAGAGAAUUUUGUUACCCUUCUCCAUCCUUCAUGUCCAGUAAGGUGUGACUGGCUAUCCUGUAGCUCACUGACAUAGUAAGAGUAACACUGGGAUACCUCAGGUGAUUAAAAAUUCUGAACUCAACUGUAGUACAGUUUUGCCACUGUGGCACUUGAGUUAGGCAAACAGGACAUUUAGGGUAGUACCAAUCAUGUAGAUUAGCUCUGUAAAAUAUUUGUAUCUUAGCAUUUUAUUUGAUAUCACUAGAAUUGAAGCAUAAAUGUGCAGUCAGUCUUCAUUAUUGGGAGUUCACCAACUUGAUUUCUUUUCCAAGAGGCAGUUACAUUUUCAGGCCUUAGAAGAAGGAUUUGAUUUGGCUUCAGAGAUUCUCUAAUCAAGAAGGAUACCCUGGAUACAGGUGACUACUUUUAGUUGAUCCAUGUCUUACCAAGCAAGUUAUCAAGCUACUGGAAGUGAAAGAAC